rnacentral:rRNA from 1 species
GACGAACGCUGGCGGCGUGCCUAAUACAUGCAAGUAGAACGCACAGUUUAUACCGUAGCUUGCUACACCAUAAACUGUGAGUUGCGAACGGGUGAGUAACGCGUAGGUAACCUGCCUGGUAGCGGGGGAUAACUAUUGGAAACGAUAGCUAAUACCGCAUAAUAUUAAUUAUUGCAUGAUAAUUGAUUGAAAGAUGCAAUUGCAUCACUACCAGAUGGACCUGUGUUGUAUUAGCUAGUAGGUGAGGCAACGGCUCACCUAGGCGACGAUACAUAGCCGACCUGAGAGGGUGAUCGGCCACACUGGGACUGAGACACGGCCCAGACUCCUACGGGAGGCAGCAGUAGGGAAUCUUCGGCAAUGGACGAAAGUCUGACCGAGCAACGCCGCGUGAGUGAAGAAGGUUUUCGGAUCGUAAAGCUCUGUUGUAAGAGAAGAACGGGUGUGAGAGUGGAAAGUUCACACUGUGACGGUAUCUUACCAGAAAGGGACGGCUAACUACGUG